rnacentral:rRNA from 1 species
ACUCAAAUGAAUUGACGGGGGCCCGCACAAGCGGUGGAGCAUGUGGUUUAAUUCGACGCAACGCGAAGAACCUUACCAGGGCUUGACAUCCUACGAACCUGGUGGAAACACUGGGGUGCCCCUUUCGGGGGGAAUGUAGAGACAGGUGGUGCACGGUUGUCGUCAGCUCGUGUCGUGAGAUGUUGGGUUAAGUCCCGCAACGAGCGCAACCCUUACUUUUAGUUGCCAGCGAGUAAUGUCGGGCACUCUAAAGGAACUGCCGGUGACAAACCGGAGGAAGGUGGGGAUGACGUCAAAUCAUCAUGCCCCUUAUGUCCUGGGCUACACACGUGCUACAAUGGACGGUACAGACGGAAGCGAGACCGCGAGGUGGAGCAAAUCCGAGAAAGCCGUUCACAGUUCGGAUUGCAGGCUGCAACUCGCCUGCAUGAAGUCGGAAUCGCUAGUAAUCGCAGGUCAGCAUACUGCGGUGAAUACGUUCCCGGGCCUUGUACACACCGCCCGU